CCCUCUCCCACCAUGAUCAUGAAUCCCACACGUCAUCAGAUCCCGAUAGAAGAUGCGGUGGUUGGAUCACCUUCGCUUUCAUCACUGUUCUCUAUCUCUAUCUCAUAAACACAAACUAACUUUGGUGCAUUUAUAUAUAUUUGAGUAUUAAUUAAUAAGGUGAUCUUCUAUGUUGAGUAUGUAGGGGCUUUGGGCUUGACACUUGCAACUGGAGGGUGGCUCUCAAAUUUGGCAAAAAAAAGAAGAAGUUCAUAUCCUUAAUUUUAUAAAAAAAAGAAAAGAAAAAAAGAAUAGAGGUGAAUCGAAAGCUAGGUAAAAGUUCAGGACGCAAAUCACCCGUUAACCUUUUGUAGUAAUUUAUAUUUUAUUCAUAAUGCACACAUAAAAGACAAUGUUGCUUGCAAAUAUAUGCUUAGUCAAGUUAGUUAGAGUGGAUAUACUCUCCUCUCCG
rnacentral:lncRNA from 1 species